UGGACUGCAUAGAUUCUAUUCUCCCUGGUUUUGUUUAAUGUUUAAAAUAGUUUGACAUUUUAGAAUAGAAGAUACUUCUUUGUUACAAGGGUUACUGAUUCCAUUAAACAGGUUUUAUAUAUUUAGAACUUAAACCACACAUACCAUGACUGUAGAAAAGUCAAGGAAUUUACAAAACCCUAAGCUAAAACAUUAGAAAGUUGUUUUGCAGUGCUGGACUGUUUUAAAUUUUCUUUCACUGUUUGAAGUACACUAUCUCCAUAUCAUUAAACACACAAGUUCAUUAAUAUGCUUAACCCUUUCCUGGGGGCCCUUUCAGCAACAAUUUGACAGACCCAAAGGUAAGCAUAGAAGGAGGUGAGGUGGGACUUACCUGGUGUAAUGGUGCAGCUGUCCUGGCUGCAAUCACUUAUUGAUUUAGAAGAUUAGGUCUAUUACUGGAAAUCAGAGUACAGCUGGAGACAUGCUGACCUACUACAGUAAGACGCAGUGUCCUAGUGAAUUUGGUUUCUUAAAAGCUCUUCUAAGUAGUGCUGUCCUCCCUUAGGAGUCAAACAUUUGACAAAGCACAGGAGUAACAAAAAUCUUAAGAAAGAACUGCAACUCUUGUAUAAUGUAAACAAAUUUCUUUAAAGCUGGAAAUUUUCAAGUUAGAAUGUUGUUACAAUCAAGACAUCACUAAAAUCCUUUUAGACUCUGUGCAUUUAAUACAGCUGAUUCUCUGGCAGUACACUAGAUGAACAGAAGCAAAUGGUCCUUUUCUUACCGUGUGGUGAAUAGAUGCAAA